rnacentral:rRNA from 1 species
GUAGGGAGCAAGCGUUAUCCGGAUUUAUUGGGUGUAAAGGGUGCGUAGACGGGAAAUUAAGUUAGCUGUGAAAGCCCUCGGCUUAACUGAGGAAUUGCAACUAAAACUGGUUUUCUUGAGUGCAGGAGAGGUAAGUGGAAUUCCUAGUGUAGCGGUGAAAUGCGUAGAUAUUAGGAGGAACACCAGUGGCGAAGGCGACUUACUGGACUGCAACUGACGUUGAGGCACGAAAGUGUGGGGAGCAAACAGGAUUAGAUACCCUGGUAGUCCACACCGUAAACGAUGGAUACUAGGUGUAGGGUGUAUUAAACAUUCUGUGCCGUCGCAAACGCAGUAAGUAUCCCACCUGGGGAGUACGGCCGCAAGGUUG